UACGUAGGGUGCAAGCGUUGUCCGGAAUUAUGGGGCGUAAAGAGCUCGUAGGCGGUUUGUCACGUCUGCUGUGAAAUCCCGAGGCUCAACCUCGGGCUUGCAGUGGGUACGGGCAGACUAGAGUGCGGUAGGGGAGAUUGGAAUUCCUGGUGUAGCGGUGGAAUGCGCAGAUAUCAGGAGGAACACCGAUGGCGAAGGCAGAUCUCUGGGCCGUUACUGACGCUGAGGAGCGAAAGCAUGGGGAGCAAACAGG
rnacentral:rRNA from 1 species